GUCGUUUAAUUUAAAUAGGUACGUUAACACGAGAUCUUCGUUUAUACGAAAAGUAUAGUUGACGCGAAUAUUUAUAUAUUUACCGAAUCGUGAAUAAAUAUUACGUUCUGGCCGAGGUGAUUAUUUUAUAAAUUUGAGGAUUGGCUAGAAAAUAUUUAAAAUAGUUAAUAUUAUUUUGUAUGAUAUAUAAUUAUUUUAAAUUCGCGUUUAUUAAGAUCGAUACGAGAAUAACCGAGCCGAGCCAGAAUUAUUAAAAUAUUAACGGGACGGACUUGGAGCCCAAGUCUAUUACUUGGCGCCCACGAAUUAUACUUGGGGACAAAGCAACUUUAUUAAUAAACUAUAUGUUAAUUAGUAAUUAACUCUUAAUGGUCAGAAGAUUAGUUAUGGUAUAAAAACAAAACAAACGUGAGAAUUUGCAAGAGUGUAGAGGAAAAAGAAACUAAAGUGAGUGAAAAAAAAAAAAAAGAGAAGGCAAAAGAAGUUUUACAGAAGGUGUACUCCGGAAGUCCCCGUAAAGCAAGUAUGGGUUGCAGCUUGUUUGGUGUGUUGGUCGGAGAGGAGUAGCCGGCCGGAGCUCGCGUCGGCGUCGCCGACGGAGACGCGUCUCGGGAUCGAGGGAGAAGAGACAGCGGUGGGUUUAAGCUGUGGAAGAGAGAGAGAGAGAGAAAGAGAGGGGGGAGAGGGAAAGAGAGAGAGGGAGAGGGAGAGAGAGAGAGAGUAACGGAGAGAGGAGGUCGCCGGAGCCUUCUCAGGCCGGCGGCAGUGGCGGCGAAGAUUAGGAAGAAGGAGAUGGAAUGAGGAAGAUGGGGGACAGUUUUGUAAUUUAACGCUUUCUGAUAAAUAAUUCGCUGGGAACUAAUUUGAUGUCGGAUUGUAAAAUAAAAUUCAUAUUUGGAUUCCUUGUGAAAAGUUAGAUGGAAUGAGCUUUUGAAUCAAAUGAUUUGGAUGAAAAAUAAGGGAGUUAUGAGUGGUCAAAGUUUGGCCAUGGGUGUUGACUUCGGGGAGAGAGAAACUAGAUGAGUAUGUUGGAGAAGAUGAUGACGUGGCAUCUUCUGAUUGGUUAGAAUAUUGAAAAUUAGUAUUUAAUUAAUUUGAGAGAUUAAACGAGGAAAUUAGUAAAAGUGUAAAACAUGAAAGUUUAAAUAUUUCGGAUUUAAUGGUAAAACCUAAUUUUGGGUUCGAGAGAUAUUAAAUUAAUUUAUAUUAUGGUUGAUUUAAUAAAUAGUUAGUUAAAUUGGAGGAUUUAGUUAAUAAUUGAAUAAAACGAAUAGUUUAGAAAAAUGAGACUUUUGGGAUAGUAACAUGAGUUAGUAAGGAAUAUUUUGCUUAAAUUAAUAAUAAGAGGAGAAUAAAUGAGAAAUGAUCUAAUAGUAAUAUAAAAUGAGGAAUUAUAAGUAGAUUUUACGAGAUCAUCGUUUUAAGAUAAGAUUCUAAUGUAUUAUUUUGUGACAUAGAAGAUUGAUUAUCUGGAAGGCGAGCUUGAUUAGUCAACUUAAAUUGGAACGUGGUGCGCUGUAAGUAUAUACUGUACCCUUCACUGUGAUAUUUUAUGAUGUUUCGGUGAACAUUUUAUUGAUGAUUUUCUGAUGAGAAAUGAGUAUUCUUACAUUUGUUCUGUGUGUGAUGCUUCCUUUGUGAAGUAAAGUAUGAUACUUCCUCCGGGAAGGAAAGCUAAACCAAUUGUUUAGCUGGCCGGGAUCCCCAACAGUAGAAUCUGUGAACUUUUGAACGUGUCUGAAUACUCAUACUCAUCUUCUUGUGUGAAACUGUUUCGAUGACUCUGAUGAAAUAUUGAUUUGGUUCACCAAGUUUUGUGAAUAAAACUCAAUUAAAAUGUACGUAUAUGCUUACUGAGCUUUAUAAGCUCAUCCCUUUUUAUGUACUAACCUUACAGGGAAGAAUUCUGGAGAAGGAUACUCAGGCAAGGGUAAAAGUGUGAGGAAUCGAAAUGCUAGACUUGGUUGGAUUUGCAAGUAGAAGUUUAGUAAAAGUAUUAUGUAAUCGAAAGAAAUAUUUGUGAACUUUUUGAAGAGUGAUGUAAGACUCUGAUGUAAGGUAAAAUAUGCCUUUAAGUUAUAUUAAGUUUGAGAUUAUGAAGAUA